rnacentral:rRNA from 1 species
UACAGAGGGUGCGAGCGUUAAUCGGAAUUACUGGGCGUAAAGCGUGCGUAGACGGUUGCAUAAGUCGGAUGUGAAAUCCCCGGGCUCAACCUGGGAAUUGCAUUCGAGACUGUGUAGCUGGGGUGCGGAAGAGGGAAGCGGAAUUUCCGGUGUAGCGGUGAAAUGCGUAGAUAUCGGAAGGAACAUCAGUGGCGAAAGCGGCUUCCUGGUCCAGCAC